GACGAACGCUGGCGGCGUGCCUAAUACAUGCAAGUCGAACGCUUCUUUCCUCCUGAGUGCUUGCACUCAAUUGGAAAGAGGAGUGGCGGACGGGUGAGUAACACGUGGGUAACCUACCCAUCAGAGGGGGAUAACACUUGGAAACAGGUGCUAAUACCGCAUAACAGUUUAUGCCGCAUGGCAUAAGAGUGAAAGGCGCUUUCGGGUGUCGCUGAUGGAUGGACCCGCGGUGCAUUAGCUAGUUGGUGAGGUAACGGCUCACCAAGGCCACGAUGCAUAGCCGACCUGAGAGGGUGAUCGGCCACACUGGGACUGAGACACGGCCCAGACUCCUACGGGAGGCAGCAGUAGGGAAUCUUCGGCAAUGGACGAAAGUCUGACCGAGCAACGCCGCGUGAGUGAAGAAGGUUUUCGGAUCGUAAAACUCUGUUGUUAGAGAAGAACAAGGACGUUAGUAACUGAACGUCCCCUGACGGUAUCUAACCAGAAAGCCACGGCUAACUACGUG
rnacentral:rRNA from 1 species